rnacentral:rRNA from 1 species
GACGUAGGUGGCGAACGUUAUCCGGAAUUACUGGGCGUAAAGCGCGCGCAGGCGGCCCGCGAGGUGUCACGUGAAAGCCCCGGGCUCAACCCGGGAGGGUCGUGGCAAACCGGCGGGCUUGAGGCCGGUAGAGGUGGGUGGAACUCCUGGUGGAGUGGUGAAAUGCGUAGAGAUCAGGAAGAACACCCGUGGCGAAGGCGGCCCACUGGGCCGGUACUGACGCUGAGGCGCGAAGGCGUGGGGAGCGAACGGG